rnacentral:rRNA from 1 species
CUGUCACUUAUAGAUGGAUCCGCGCUGCAUUAGCUAGUUGGUAAGGUAACGGCUUACCAAGGCAACGAUGCAUAGCCGACCUGAGAGGGUGAUCGGCCACACUGGAACUGAGACACGGUCCAGACUCCUACGGGAGGCAGCAGUAGGGAAUCUUCCGCAAUGGGCGAAAGCCUGACGGAGCAACGCCGCGUGAGUGAUGAAGGUCUUCGGAUCGUAAAACUCUGUUAUUAGGGAAGAACAUAUGUGUAAGUAACUGUGCACAUCUUGACGGUACCUAAUCAGAAAGCCACGGCUAACUACGUGCCAGCAGCCGCGGUAAUACGUAGGUGGCAAGCGUUAUCCGGAAUUAUUGGGCGUAAAGCGCGCGUAGGCGGUUUUUUAAGUCUGAUGUGAAAGCCCACGGCUCAACCGUGGAGGGUCAUUGGAAACUGGAAAACUUGAGUGCAGAAGAGGAAAGUGGAAUUCCAUGUGUAGCGGUGAAAUGCGCAGAGAUAUGGAGGAACACCAGUGGCGAAGGCGACUUUCUGGUCUGUAACUGACGCUGAUGUGCGAAAGCGUGGGGAUCAAACAGGAUUAGAUACCCUGGUAGUCCACGCCGUAAACGAUGAGUGCUAAGUGUUAGGGGGUUUCCGCCCCUUAGUGCUGCAGCUAACGCAUUAAGCACUCCGCCUGGGGAGUACGACCGCAAGGUUGAAACUCAAAGGAAUUGACGGGGACCCGCACAAGCGGUGGAGCAUGUGGUUUAAUUCGAAGCAACGCGAAGAACCUUACCAAAUCUUGACAUCCUUUGACAACUCUAGAGAUAGAGCCUUCCCCUUCGGGGGACAAAGUGACAGGUGGUGCAUGGUUGUCGUCAGCUCGUGUCGUGAGAUGUUGGGUUAAGUCCCGCAACGAGCGCAACCCUUAAGCUUAGUUGCCAUCAUUAAGUUGGGCACUCUAAGUUGACUGCCGGUGACAAACCGGAGGAAGGUGGGGAUGACGUCAAAUCAUCAUGCCCCUUAUGAUUUGGGCUACACACGUGCUACAAUGGACAAUACAAAGGGCAGCGAAACCGCGAGGUCAAGCAAAUCCCAUAAAGUUGUUCUCAGUUCGGAUUGUAGUCUGCAACUCGACUACAUGAAGCUGGAAUCGCUAGUAAUCGUAGAUCAGCAUGCUACGGUGAAUACGUUCCCGGGUCUUGUACACACCGCCCGUCACACCACGAGAGUUUGUAACACCCGAAGCCGGUGGAGUAACCUUUUAGGAGCUAGCCGUCGAAGGUGGGACAAAUGAUUGGGGUGAAGUCGUAACAAGGUAGCCGUAUCGGAAGGUGCGGCUGGAUCACCUCCUUU